AUGCUUUGGAGAUGUCCAGUCCUCUGCAUAUUCAUCUUCAGUACAGGGACCUCUUUGGAUGUAUAUUUGGAACCAGUUGCCAAAACUUUUACUGUUGUAGCUGGGGAUCCUGCCUCCUUCUACUGCACUGUAACAGGAGGGGACAUGAAGAAUUAUCAUAUGAGCUGGUAUAAGAAGAAUGGAACUAAUGCUCUGUUUUUAGUAUACAAGCUAAAUAGCAAUUCUACUGAUGGUGGAAAGAGCAACCUCAAAGGGAAAAUUAACAUUUCAAAAAAUCAGUUUAUACUCGACAUUCAGAAGGCAACAAUGAAAGACGCUGGUACGUACUACUGUGGGUCAGAUAUC